rnacentral:rRNA from 1 species
UACGAAGGGUGCAAGCGUUAAUCGGAAUUACUGGGCGUAAAGCGUGCGUAGGCGGUGACUUAAGUCUGUUGUGAAAUCCCCGGGCUCAACCUGGGAAUGGCAAUGGAUACUGGGUCGCUAGAGUGUGAUAGAGGAUGGUGGAAUUCCCGGUGUAGCGGUGAAAUGCGUAGAGAUCGGGAGGAACACCAGUGGCGAAGGCGAUCACCUGGGGUUGUUCUGACGCUGAGGAGCGAAAGCUAGGGGAGCAAACGGG